UGGCCACCUCAUGUUGAAACACCGGUUCUCAUAUGAUCACCGAAGGUAAACAACAUUGUGCCUGAGCAGUCCCUAGAUGGGUAACCACUUUGGAAUACCAGGUGCUGUAAG